rnacentral:misc_RNA from 1 species
GAACGCACAUUGCGCCCUUUGGUAUUCCGAAGGGCAUGCCUGUCCGAGCGUCAUUUCUACCCUCGAGCGAGUCCAGCAUCUAGGUGCUGGGCCCCGCCCGGCGUUGGAGCACUACGGGAAGCCCUGUGCUGUCCCCCGUAGGCCCCGAAAUGAAGUGGCGGUCCUGCCGCGGCGCCCCCUGCGUAGUAUAACAGCUCGCUUCGGGACCCGGUGGAGGCCUGCCGUCAAACCUUACUCUCUAAGUUUGACCUCGGAUCAGGUAGGGUUACCCGCUGAACUUAAG